rnacentral:rRNA from 1 species
GACAGAGGGUGCAAGCGUUGUUCGGAAUUACUGGGCGUAAAGGGCGCGCAGGCGGCCUCUUGAAGUCAGAUGUGAAAGCCCCGGGCUUAACCUGGGAAUUGCUUUUAAGACUGUCGGGCUAGAAUCCAGAAGAGGGUAGUGGAAUUCCGAGUGUAGAGGUGAAAUUCGUAGAUAUUCGGAAGAACACCAGUGGCGAAGGCGACUACCUGGUCUGGCAUUGACGCUCAUGUGCGAAAGCGUGGGGAGCAAACAGG